CGGAGGCCGAAGGGGUCAAGUCGUCCGUCCGGCAUUUGAAGCCAGUUCGUUCUCAAGCGUGUCGAUGACCUCCUGGUUCCUCCUGUUCCGCUUCGUGAUCUCCUGGAUGAACUGGCUCUUGUCUCUGGCUUCCAUGGGGCAGGUAACUGACCUUGUCCACGAGCACCUGGCACAGGUCCGCGUGCUCCCGCACUGCCCUGGUGAGGUCCUCGC